AAGUCCAAGAGUACCCUCAGAUGAGGAGG
rnacentral:sRNA from 1 species